AACGAACGCUGGCGGCAUGCCUAACACAUGCAAGUCGAACGAGACCUUCGGGUCUAGUGGCGCACGGGUGCGUAACACGUGGGAAUCUGCCCUUUGCUUCGGAAUAACAGUUAGAAAUGACUGCUAAUACCGGAUGAUGUCGAAAGACCAAAGAUUUAUCGGCAAAGGAUGAGCCCGCGUAGGAUUAGGUAGUUGGUGGGGUAAUGGCCUACCAAGCCGACGAUCCUUAGCUGGUCUGAGAGGAUGAUCAGCCACACUGGGACUGAGACACGGCCCAGACUCCUACGGGAGGCAGCAGUGGGGAAUAUUGGACAAUGGGCGAAAGCCUGAUCCAGCAAUGCCGCGUGAGUGAUGAAGGCCUUAGGGUUGUAAAGCUCUUUUACCAGGGAUGAUAAUGACAGUACCUGGAGAAUAAGCUCCGGCUAACUCCGUG
rnacentral:rRNA from 1 species